CCAAAGCCAGCUCCAAAGCAAUCACAAGUCUUUCCUUUGUCUUCAGUGGGGUUUGGAUCAGGCCCAAAGCUCAUAAGCAGUUUUCCACCAAGAGUUCCCGGCACUUAUGUCAGUCACUGGCAACAAGGGAAGGGAUAAAUCCAGCAUCGGCUGCUUCAGAUGCCAGGCACAUUCUCUGUGAGUGUGUGUGUGUCACAGGGUGGAUAUAAACUCCCUCAGUCUGCCUGGGCUCCUGCUAAAUUGCAUGACAGCUUGCAAAGGGCAGGCAGCUACAGGGCUGCUUCCAGGACUGACCUCGACGGAUUUCAGUCUGAAAAGAGCUGGGAUGUUCUGUGCAGUGCCCAAGAAAACCUCUCUCAGGAGCAGCUGCCUGGGCACGGGGAAGGAGCUGGGAUGGCUGCCUGGUCAGACUGGCACAGAGUACAGGAGGAUUUCCUCAGCAUCCCACAAGGCAAGGCAGGGGCAAGGGCUGCUCAGUCCCAGGAGGCCCCAGGUGCUGGUGUCACCACUGAACCCCCAGUGAUGGGGAGCCAAGCUUCACCUGCAGCCCCAGGCCCUGCACAGUGAGAGGUCUCCCAGCACCCAGCAGCAGCAAAUCAGGCUCAGUGCCAUAAACAGGGUCUAGAACAAAUAGGUUGGCUGACCAUGAACUGCUUGGAGGAAAAGGAAGCAGCAUGAUAAGGGUAUUAAUGUGGAUUGGAUCCUGCCCUCAGGGCCACAGCUGGCCCAGGCACAGCCAGAGAACACAGCCAGCAUUGUGCAUCCUUGAGUCCACAACCACCACGCAGAGCACAGGUUGUCUGAACUAAUGGGUCUUCAUAGGAUCCUUCUGGUUGAGAGAUGAUAUCACAGAUCAUAUCUGUGUCCACUUUAAGUCUGGGCUGUUGCUAAGAGAAAAACAAUUCUUGGCAAAUUCCUCGAAGUGCUUGCCUCCUACAGUUUGGCUGAAGACAGUUUGUUCAAGAACCAUGGGUAGGUGUGAGUUUCUGUCUCUUCGCCUUCUGAGAAUUGUUCUCGCCAGUGCAAAACUGAAGAUGAUAAUGCUCCCAUUAAAAAUGAGGUGAAUGCUCAGGCUGACAUGAGUGGGUGGAAAGGACUUCAAACAGGAUGAAUCUGGGGACAAACCUAUCCUUGCCAAGACAAACAGCUGCAGAGAGCUGCAGGAAAGAAAAAAGGGCACUGCUGUUCAAAAUGAUUUGGUCACAUAAGGCUGAUUGAGGCUGCAUAUCCAUCAAUUCAUAACAAAAACCAGUGACUUUCAUAUGAAGAAAGAAAAGGUACAUCAUAUGUCACACAGGAGGACUGCAGAACUGAUAUCAUUAGGACAACAGACUGAUAUUCCAUAGGAGAGACAGAGAUAUGGGAUGAGCACAGAGCAGAAAGCUCUCACUCUCCUUCCUACAUCUGUCUUUCAUUUGCUUUGCCUCUAUCUGCCCGUUGUUGAUGUUUUCUCACAUUUUCUUGGUCCCUUUUUUCAAGCUGUAUUUCAUUCCAAGGAGGCAGGGAGCUCCAGGUGUGAAUGAGGGCUGUGAGCAUGAACUCACUGUCACAGUUAUUAUUGUUAUCAUUCCUCUGAAAACCAGCCUGGUGGAGGUUUGGCUCUGUGGAAUUUGUUCUGCUGUUUUAACUGUGUCCUUGUGAAAUGUGGAAAAUGGUAUGAAAGUGGAAUGAAAAUGUGGAAAGGGGAAUGAAGUGCAGUGCUUUGCACGAUGGCUUGCACCCAAAGGUGCAGCCUUAGCUAGUGAAGUGCUGGCGUGCUGUGGAACAAGAUUUUGAGAUUGCAGGAUUGGGACCUGCUGCUCAAAUGAAUCAAGUGUUCAGGACUUGCUGAUUUUCUUUGUAAUGGGAGAAACUGUAUGUUAAAAAAGCCAAUACAGAAUUUUCAAUGCUCUAUAUAGUUUCAAUGUUUUCUAUUUUAAGAUCCCAGUGAUAUUCAGUAAUUGUAUUCCCACCACCCAGCUAUUUAGCAAUCUGAACAGAUACUAUUGUUGCUAUUACUAUUGUUUCCAUUACUGGCGGUAGACUUGUGGAUGUCUGGUUAUUUUUGUACACCCCCUAUGUACACCUCACUGGGCACAGAUAUUUUAAUGCAUUUUUCAGUGGUUCCCUCUGCUCCAGUUGAACCUCUGGAGAUGUUAUGGAGCCCCUUUGUGUGUGUUGGAUGAACGCAUCUCUGGGAUCAGUCUGGAGCAGACAACUGCCAUACCAUAGAGCUGAGCUCCAGCUUUCCCCCAGCCUGGCAUGAUGUGUUCAGUCCCUCCACAAAUCAGGUGCAGCUCAGCCCUUAUCCAGCGGGGAUUCAGUGCACAAGCAAUGGUCUGUUUUCCCUCUGAUCUGCUGCCUCAAAUAUCCC
ensembl:lncRNA